UACGUAGGGCGCAAGCGUUGUCCGGAAUUAUUGGGCGUAAAGAGCUCGUAGGCGGCCUGUUACGUCUGCUGUGAAAUCCCGGGGCUUAACCCCGGGCGUGCAGUGGAUACGGGCAGGCUGGAGGCAGGCAGGGGAGAACGGAAUUCCCGGUGUAGCGGUGAAAUGCGCAGAUAUCGGGAGGAACACCGAUGGCGAAGGCAGAUCUCUGGGCCGUAACUGACGCUGAGGAGCGAAAGCAUGGGGAGCGAACAGG
rnacentral:rRNA from 1 species